GACGAACGCUGGCGGCGUGCUUAACACAUGCAAGUCGAACGGAAAGGCCCUUAGGGGUACUCGAGUGGCGAACGGGUGAGGAACACGUGGGUGAUCUGCCCUGCACUUUGGGAUAAGCCUGGGAAACUGGGUCUAAUACCGAAUAGGACCACGCGCUUCAUGGUGUGUGGUGGAAAGCUUUUGCGGUGUGGGAUGGGCCCGCGGCCUAUCAGCUUGUUGGUGGGGUAAUGGCCUACCAAGGCGACGACGGGUAGCCGGCCUGAGAGGGUGACCGGCCACACUGGGACUGAGAUACGGCCCAGACUCCUACGGGAGGCAGCAGUGGGGAAUAUUGCACAAUGGGCGCAAGCCUGAUGCAGCGACGCCGCGUGAGGGAUGACGGCCUUCGGGUUGUAAACCUCUUUCAAUAGGGACGAAGCGCAAGUGACGGUACCUAUAGAAGAAGCACCGGCCAACUACGUG
rnacentral:rRNA from 1 species